rnacentral:rRNA from 1 species
UACAGAGGGUGCGAGCGUUAAUCGGAAUUACUGGGCGUAAAGCGCACGUAGGUGGCGACGUAAGUCGGGUGUGAAAGCCCCGGGCUCAACCUGGGAAUUGCAUUCGAGACUGCAUUGCUGGAGUACGGAAGAGGAAGGCGGAAUUCCCGGUGUAGCGGUGAAAUGCGUAGAUAUUGGGAGGAACACCGGUGGCGAAGACGGCUACCUGGACCGGUUCUGACGCUGAUGCGCGAAAGCGUGGGGA